rnacentral:lncRNA from 1 species
AAGGAAUAAAAUGUAUUAACAUUUGGCUGCUUUUGCAUGAGGCACACGAAAUCGCAGUGACGUCAAUAACUGGUCACAGUCGAUGGAGCCACCUACAACUU